rnacentral:tRNA from 1 species
GCCGACAAGGCUCAAUGCUUAGAGCGUUGGACUUCUGAUCAACGGGUUGUGGGUUCGAUCCUCUGGUGGUG